ACCUGGGUGGCUCAGUCAGUAGAGCGUCCGACUUCGGCUCAGGUUGUGAUCUCGUGGUUUGUGGGUUCAAGCCCCACGUCGGGCU
rnacentral:tRNA from 1 species